rnacentral:rRNA from 1 species
UUUAAAUAGCUGCAGUAUUUUAACUGUACUAAGGUAGCAUAAUAAUUAGUCUUUUAAUUGGGGUCUAGAAUGAAAGGUUUAACAAGAAAAAAUCUUUAUUAAUUUAAUUAAGUGAAUUUUAUUUUUUAGUUAAAAAGCUAAAAUUUUAAAAUGGGACGAUAAGACCCUAUAGAUCUUAAAAUUUUUAUUUCAUAAAUUUAUUUCGGUUAAUUUAAGUUUUAAGAAUAUAAAUUUUUUGUUGGGGUGACAGAUAGAUUUUUAAAACUUUAAGGCUUUUUUACAUAGAUAAAUGAAUUUUAUGAACUUGAAUUUGGGUUUGUUAAAAUAAGAUACCUUAGGGAUAACAGCGUAAUAAAUUUGUAUAGUUCAUAUAGAUAAAUUUGUUUACGACCUCGAUGUCGAAUUAAUCUGAAGUUUUGGGGCAGAAAUUAAAAUUUUUGGUCUGUUCGACCUUUAAAAGAUUACG